AUGCAUUGGCAAGCUUGGGAGAAAAUGGCAAUCCCCGAGUCAAAGGGUGGCAUGGGCUUUAGGGAUAUGGAAGUUUUCAAUGAUGCAAUGUUGGCCAAAUUGGCUUGGAGACUGUUGGAAUCUCCAAACAACUUGUGUGCGCAGGUACUGAAAGGGCGAUACUCCCCGGAUGGUGAGUUCCUUUCGGCCAGCUGCCCAACGAGUGCCUCACGAACUUGGAAGGCAAUCAUGUGUGGGCGUGAGAUCCUCAAGGCGGGGAUUAUUCGACGAAUUGGAGAUGGUGCGAAGACGGGAAUAUGGCAUGAUAAUUGGAUUGAGGGCACAUGA
rnacentral:rRNA from 1 species